rnacentral:rRNA from 1 species
UUAAAAUUGUUGCAGUUAAAACGCUCGUAGUUGAAUUUCAAAGAAUCGAUAUUUUAUUGUAACUAUUCUAGGGGAACUAUUUUAGCUUUUCGCUUUAAUACGCUUCCUCUAUUAUUAUGUUCUUUAAAUAACAAAGAUUCUUUUUAAAAUCCCCACUUUGCUUUUGCUUUUUGGGGAUUUUGUUACUUUGAGUAAAUUAGAGUGUUCAAAGCAAACAGUUAAAGCAUUUACUGUGUUUGAAUACUAUAGCAUGGAAUAACAAAAUUGAACAAGCUAAAAUUUUUUGUUCUUUUUUCUUAUUUUGGCUUAGUUACGAUUAAUAGGAGUAGCUUGGGGACAUUCGUAUUCAGAUGUCAGAGGUGAAAUUCUUAGAUUUUCUGGAGACGAACAACUGCGAAAGCAUUUGUCUAAAAUACUUCCAUUAAUCAAGAACGAAAGUUAAGGGAGUGAAGACGAUCAGAUACCGUCGUAAUCUUAACCAUAAACUAUGCCGACUAGGUGUUGGAUGAAAGUGUUAAAAAUAAAAGUCAUCUUUCGAGGUGACUUUUAGAUUGCUUCCUUCAGUACCUUAUGAGAAAUCAAAGUCUUUGGGUUCUGGGGCGAGUAUUCGCGCAAGCGAGAAAGUUAAAAGAAUUGACGGAAGGGCACCACCAGGCGUGGAGCUUGCGGCUUAAUUUGACUCAACACGGGGAAACUCACUAGUUUAAGACAAGAGUAGGAUUGACAGAUUAAUAGCUCUUUCUUGAUUUCUUGGAUGGUGAUGCAUGGCCGUUUUUAGUUCGUGAAUAUGAUUUGUCUGGUUAAUUCCGAUAACGAACGAGAUCUUAACCUGCUAAUUAGCGGCGAGUACACUAUAUUCUUAUUUGAAAUUGAACAUAGGUAACUAUACAUUUAUUCAGUAAUCAAAUUAGGAUAUUUUUAUUAAAAUAUCCUUUUCCCUGUUCUACUAAUAAUUUGUUUUUUACUCUAUUUCUCUCUUCUUUUAAGAAUGUACUUGCUUGAUUGAAAAGCUUCUUAGAGGAACAUUGUGUGUCUAACACAAGGAAGUUUAAGGCAACAACAGG